rnacentral:rRNA from 1 species
GACGAACGCUGGCGGCGUGCUUAACACAUGCAAGUCGAACGAUGAAGCCGGAGCUUGCUCCGGUGGAUUAGUGGCGAACGGGUGAGUAACACGUGAGCAAUCUGCCCUUGACUCUGGGAUAACUGCGGGAAACUGUAGCUAAUACCGGAUACGACACCUUGGGGCAUCCCAGGGUGUGGAAAGAAUUUCGGUCAAGGAUGAGCUCGCGGCCUAUCAGCUAGUUGGUGAGGUAAUGGCUCACCAAGGCGACGACGGGUAGCCGGCCUGUGAGGGUGACCGGCCACACUGGAACUGAGACACGGACCAGACUCCUACGGGAGGCAGCAGUGGGGAAUAUUGCACAAUGGGCGAAAGCCUGAUGCAGCAACGCCGCGUGAGGGAUGAAGGCCUUCGGGUUGUAAACCUCUUUUAGCAGGGAAGAAGCGAAAGUGACGGUACCUGCAGAAAAAGCACCGGCUAACUACGUGCCAGCCGCCGCCGUAA